GUAGGUGGCAAGCGUUGUCCGGAUUUACUGGGCGUAAAGAGCGCGCAGGCGGUCGUGCAAGUCGCGUGUGAAAGCCCCCGGCUCAACUGGGGAGGGUCACGCGAUACUGCUCGACUCGAAGGCAGGAGAGGGAAGUGGAAUUCCCGGUGUAGUGGUGAAAUGCGUAGAUAUCGGGAGGAACACCAGUGGCGAAGGCGACUUCCUGGCCUGUUCUUGACGCUGAGGCGCGAAAGCUAGGGUAGCAAACGGGAUUAGAUACCCCGGUAGUCCUAGCCGUAAACGAUGGACACUAGGUGUUGGUGGUAUCAACCCCGCCAGUGCCGAAGCUAACGCAUUAAGUGUCCCGCCUGGGGAGUACGGCCGCAAGGCUA
rnacentral:rRNA from 1 species